rnacentral:misc_RNA from 1 species
GAUGAAGAACGUAGCGAAAUGCGAUACGUAAUGUGAAUUGCAGAAUUCAGUGAAUCAUCGAAUCUUUGAACGCAUAUUGCGCUCUCUGGUAUUCCGGAGAGCAUGCUUGUUUGAGUAUCAGUAAACACCUCAACUCCCUUUUCUUUUUUGAAAUUGUAGCUGGACUUGAGUGAUCCCAACGCUUUCUUCCAAGAAAGUGGCGGGUUGCUUGAAAUGCAGGUGCAGCUGAACUUUUCUCUGAGCUAUAAGCAUAUCUAUUUAGUCUGCCUAAAAAACAGAUUAUUACCUUUGCUGCAGCUAACAUAAAGGAGACUAGUUCUUGUGCUGACUGAUGCAGGAUUCACAGAGACAGCUUCGGCUGACUUUGUAAACUCGAUCUCAAAUCAAGUAAGACUACCCGCUGAACUUAAGCAUAUCAAUAAGCGGAGGA